rnacentral:lncRNA from 1 species
GUACAUAGUUUUAAAUGAGGUGGCCAGAGAAGAGGCCUCCCCGAGACUGAGGCAUUUCGACAAAGACCUGAUGAUGAGCAAGCUAGCCAGGACACCAGGAAAAAAGUGCUUCUCGGGCAGAGUGAAGGCAACGUGUCAUAACCCAGAGAAGAAACUGCAGGGUGUUUGAGAAAGAGCGUGGACCCCGGAGGCCCUGGAGACAAGGGGGCUAUAGGGACAGUAGUAGGAGACGGGGGAAGGUGGAUCUUGUAGGGCAUCAGAAAGGGCUCUGGUUUCACUCCUCGUCAGCAGAUGAAACCCUUGGAGGUUUUUGGAUAGGAGUGACAUGGACUGAGCUGGAUGGAAGCGGGCGCCUUUGGCUGCUGUCUUGAGACAGGCGGCAGAACCGCUGAGCUAAAUCCCCGGCCCUGGCUGCUGUCUUGAGGAGAAACUCGGUGCCAAGAUGUGUCGUGGGGAGGUGCACGUACCGGCCGUGCUGAUGACGUGAGUGACACAGGGCAGUGGCUCACAACAUGAUGACGGCAGUCGUAGUGUGUCCCCGGCACCCACGGUAAAGACUCGAUAAAUAGAGAGAGAGAGAUGCUGGAUGGCAACACCUACAACAGAGCAGGUACAGAGCGGGCACAUAAGAAGUGAGUUUGGUAAGUGUAAGACACUAGAAAAAGAGCUAUCGAGUGUUUGCUUGGACAUUUAUGUUUAACUUCUGAAAGGUAUUUUUAGGAGCUGGCCAAAUCCAGUAGAGAAGAGCUAAAAAGUGCUGUUUUCCUCCGAGAAAACAAGGAUCUUCUAAAGGAGCCAGGACCCUGAACCAACUUCCCCGGCGUCUCUCAGCCCAGCCCGAGGCACCCUCGAUGGAGAACCCGGCAUGCCUCACAUCUUCGGAGAAGUCACACGGGGGAGUGGCAUGCAUGAUGAUGUCACCAAAGCAGAAGCCACCCAAAGGUCCCCCGCGGGGUCUCUCGCGCCUCCCUUUGGUAGAAGCAUUUGGUUUUCCCUCCAAGAACACCCCCGAAACCCAUGAGUGGGGCCUGACAAGGAAGGUACUCCAAUCCAUCACCCCUAGCCCUUUGCGAGGGAUGGACGCUGACCAAAAUGGGCCAAGCAAACACUCCUUCCACAAUUUGCAUCUUAAUGGCAAGGACUCACAGAUGGAACAAGGCUGCAGUUGAGACAUGAAUGGCUUUAGGACAGCACCUUCACGAGGGCACUGCUGGGUAGCUGCCUGGAGCUUUCCUGCUCCUAGGUCUCCCAAGGCCAGCUUGUUCUAGUUCUCCAGAACCUUCUAGAGGAUGUUCGUUCGGUGGGUCACCCUGUUACCGUCAAUCGCCACCACUUUUCUAUUUUCCUUUAAGUUAACCAGAGUCAAGUUUCUGUCGCUUUCAGAACUCAUCUCUCACGCUCGCACUGAAGUAAAGAGGCAGAAAGAGGGUCAUUGUGACUGGGAGGAAGGAAGCUAAUCGGGAAAGAGCUGGACUCUCCUUUGGGCCACAUAUAAAGCAGCACAGUUAGGUUUAGCCAGGUGAGAUUUAUUUCCGUUUUCUGCCUAGCUUCUCCGCUUUGAAGAGAAAGGGACCACAUCUGCCAUGUGAGCAUCCGUCACUCUGUGGGCUUCCUGUGAUGCAAAAUAUUUUCUAGAUUUUCACACCAUUUUUCUUCAGUGCUGCCUGCCGGCCACAUUCACCUUCACUCCCGCCCGCCCCAACCCCCACAGACACUCUGAGAAAC